rnacentral:tRNA from 1 species
GCCUGGGUGGCUCAGUCUGUUAAGCGUCCGACUUCGGCUCGGGUCAUGAUCUCACAGUCCGUGGGUUCGAGUCCCUCAUCAGGCU